rnacentral:rRNA from 1 species
CCUACGGGGGGCAGCAGUGGGGAAUAUUGGACAAUGGGGGCAACCCUGAUCCAGCCAUGCCGCGUGUGUGAAGAAGGCCCUCGGGUUGUAAAGCACUUUCAGUGAGGAAGAACGCCUGGUGGUUAAUACCCAUCAGGAAAGACAUCACUCACAGAAGAAGCACCGGCUAACUCCGUGCCAGCAGCCGCGGUAAUACGGAGGGUGCGAGCGUUAAUCGGAAUUACUGGGCGUAAAGCGCGCGUAGGUGGCUUGAUAAGCCGGUUGUGAAAGCCCCGGGCUCAACCUGGGAACGGCAUCCGGAACUGGCAGGCUAGAGUGCAGGAGAGGAAGGUAGAAUUCCCGGUGUAGCGGUGAAAUGCGUAGAGAUCGGGAGGAAUACCAGUGGCGAAGGCGGCCUUCUGGACUGACACUGACACUGAGGUGCGAAAGCGUGGGUAGCAAACAGGAUUAGAUACCCCUGUAGUC